rnacentral:misc_RNA from 1 species
GAUGAAGAACGCAGCGAAAUGCGAAAAGUAAUGUGAAUCGCAGAAUUCAGUGAAUCAUCGAAUCUUUGAACGCACAUUGCGCCCGCCAGUAUUCUGGCGGGCAUGCCUGUCUGAGCGUCAUUUCAACCCUCACGCCCCUAGGGCGUGGUGUUGGGGAUCGGCCAGCGCCCUCGCGGGCGAGGCCGUCCCCUAAAUCUAGUGGCGGACCCGUCGUGGCCUCCCCUGCGAAGUAGUGAUAUUCCGCAUAGGAGAGCGACGAGCCCCUGCCGUUAAACCCCCAACUUUCUCAGGUUGACCUCAGAUCAGGUAGGAAUACCCGCUGAACUUAAGCAUAUCAAUAAGCGGAGGA